rnacentral:lncRNA from 1 species
GAAUCAUGGCACAGGAUCGAAUGUCACAACUUUACUAUAUAAUAGGAGUUCUAUACAAAAUAAAUAAUUACAUAUAAGGAGGCAACGGUCCAGCAAUCCAAAGUUGACUGGGAGACGACGGCCUAGAUCUCUCUCACGAACUCAUCGCAGCAUCCUCCAUGCGCCUCAUCCUGUGGUACCUGUUCUUGACCUGUGGGGGGGUGUGAGACAGCAAGAGUGAGCUCACAUAUGUUCAUCGCUCAACAAGUUGUGGGGAAUAAUGUGCAUGAACUCGCCAAAGGUGGGAGCUCACGUGAAGUGUAAGGCUUACCAAAGAGGAUUGUUAGAGCUGAGCAUUGCUUUUAAAGUUGGUCAAAAUUUUAUUAGCAAUUACUAUGUAUAAGUAAAUACCAACCCAAUUAAGUAGUAGAACAAAAGUAACAACAUCACCUGCGAUGCAAUGCAUAUGACAAAUUGAAUUUAGUUCCAUAAAUUAAUCAUCAGAGAGUCCUGAGCUGCUCAUGACCGUGAGCUCGGCUAGUAUACCAGUUUUACACUCUGCAGAGGUGGUACCCUUUACCCACAAGUCAUGUUACCCAUCUGCCAAGGGAUCGCGACUUCCCAUACACCUCUACCAAGGAGGCGAGGCAGGGUAACACUACGAGGCCUUUACAAAGUUCCACUAGCUUCAGAAAACCCGCUACAGUUUAUAGGAAGCUCCAAUGCAGGGUUCUUGCCUGACCGCCAUCGCAGCAAAAUCAACCAAGGACCUCCCUACACUGACCACUCCCCUACUGCCCUUGCCCCUUUCGGGUAAGGUGGUCCUCCACUAGCUUUCCUAAUUAAUCAGCCAAGGGCGUCCAUAAACCCUUGUGGUGGCACGUGUUUCUCAAGUUAAGCUCUAUGUUCCAAUUAACAUUAAUGAUCUUGACAUGAACAGUAAAUAACAACGGAUAACAAAAGUAUAAUCAUGAAUAAUGUGUAUCUCAAUGCCCAAAACCACAUAUAGCACUAGCAAGUACUACCCAAAAAGUUCAGUGGUAAACAAGGCAUAAAGAUAGACAAACUAGGGUAACCUAUUAGGUCCCAUCAAAAUUAACCUAUGCAGAUCAUUAUGAUUAAUUAGAACAUGAGUGGGUAAAAGUAGUGAUCAAGGGCACAACUUGCCUGGCACUUGAGAUCCAGGUAACAGGGUGAUUCCUCAGAUCCUCGUAACCGCACUGCUAGUCGUAGCAAUACAAGCAGACAUGGUAUAGACAAAAAUUAACAUCACACCAAUCAUAAGUACAUACUGCAUAAUAAUAGUCUACGCGUCACAACGAGAUCGCGGGCACGAGAACUACGAUCGGAUUUACUAGUAAGGAGUUAUGAUUUUAUAGAAGAUCUGCGUGAUUAAAAUAUUAAACUAUAUUAUAAUUUGGUUAAUAUAAAUCAUACGAGAGGUUAUUAUAUAAAUAAUUAUCUUAACUUAAAUAUAAGUUAUAAAUUGACCCUAGAUCAUAUUCUAGUAGAUUACAAUUAUAAGCAGUUUAACUAGACUAACUCAUAUAAGUUAAAUAAAGAUCUAAUUAUAAAAUAAAGAGACAUGGUAUAAUAAAUGUUGUUAUUGCAUAGUAACUAUUUAUACGAGACUAACGCAACUUGAACGAGUCAAAUCGGAUUUAAAACAGAGGAGUUAUGAUUUUCUGAAGAUUCUAUGUGUUUUGUACAAGAUUAAAUAAGAUAUAAUUUUUAAGGUGACUUUCAUGUCAAAACAGUGGUACUAGAUGAUAGACAAUAAUAUAAAAAAAUUAUAGGAAUUGGAACAGAUUAAUUUGGGCUUAAUAUGAAUUUUCUAUGAAUUAUCCGAGUUUUACAAUUAUUUUUAUACUAAAAAUCAAUUUAUAAAUCUAUUUUUCUGGUUUUAUUUAAUUCCUGGACUGUGCCUCAAUUUAUAUAGAAGGAAGGGGCCUCUGCGCCAAGAUUCUAAGACACAGCGCACAGACGCGAGGGAUGGCGGGUUGGUUCCUAGGAAGUUCAGGGACUCUUUGAUAAAUGUCCCUGGCCGAAAGGGUCGGCAGGUUACGGCCGACCGAUCGAUCACCGACUGACCAGAUUAGAUGUUGCUUUCAUUGAAUCGGUAAGCUAAUAAGGACUGUCUGAUUGAAGGUUGUCGGCCCAGAUUCAACCACACCGAGAUCGAGCCCGAGCCGCUCGAUCACCGAUAGGUGGCCUGCAUUUCAUCUGGCCAAACCGGUACACAGGUGAAAUCCUAACCGUUGAUCUAUUACCCAACGGCCCGAGGCCAUCUUCCACCUCGCCCUCCUAUCGCACCAUGUCUCGACUCUUGACGACGGCGACCCGCCCGCCAUGGGGCGCCAUGGCCAAAAUUCCAAGCCAUGCCAAGGUGAUCUAGCCCAUAAACUAAAUGGAUCAACGCGCAGAGGAGGAUGUGGUUCUUUACCGGAGAUGAGGGGGCCGAAUAGGCUGUCCACGCGAACAGGACGCUUCACAUGGAGCUCCCGCGCUGGUGAUCCGGCCACCGGUCCAAUCCCGCCAGGCGAGGCCAUGACAGACCUCUUGGUGGACCCAGCCAUCCCCAUGGCCCGCUCCCUAGGGAUCAACAUCGGCUAGCCGGAGUCCCCGGCGGCGGCUCCCUCCACGACCAACAUGCUUCUGCCGCCCAGCCCGAUGGUGGAUUUGGAUAGGUGUUUUCUGGAAUUGGGAGGGAAGGAGAAGCACCGGGCUCGCUUUUAUGGUACAGUAGGGGCGGUUUGGCUGGUCCGCAGCUUGCGCGCGGCCACGCCGGACACGGAAUUCCGUUGAAGAAGACUGCACAGUCGGCCGCACAGCUCACGCGAGGAGGAGUUUCUGACAGUCAGGGCCCACCUGCAAGUGGCGAAAGCGCGAGGUAUAGCAGAUGGGCGGUCGAUCGUGUAGUAUUUAUACAUCGGCAUCAUAGCCCGAGUACAUACGUCUGGCCGAACGGAUUCGUCUGUGCCCCCGAGAUGUUAGCAAUUGUUGGUCCUUAGAUGACGACCAUUUGUUGCAGCGACCACAAAAAUCACGGAAGGGAUCUCAACGGACUAGGAACGAAGAGCUUGAGCAUGCAAUUUUUACGGAGGUGGUUGCAAUGGAAUACGAUCGCGUGGAAGAUAAGCUAUGCGCAUGGGAGAGGCUGGACCACGGGUCCGAUCGAAGAGGAAGGGGCUGUAUAUCUAUUGCAUGAGUGGACGAGGAAAUUUCUAUGCACAUGACGGCCCUGGGCAACGACAGACGCGAGUCCUGGAGAAGAUGACCUGCUCGUUCUGUUCGUGCUCGUGAACAAGGGAGAGGAAGCUGUCAAGGUGUCCCAUGUGUCAGCACGGGUGAGCAAAGACGCAAGCGCAUGCAGAAGUACAUGAGGCUGCGAUACAAGCAUUGGUUAAUUUGCAUGCACAUUGGUUAAUUUGCAUGCUUAUGUCAUGGUGAUGAUAUGGUGACACAAGUUCUGGCAAAUGAAUAAAGAAAAGGAUUUUUGGAGGGGGAGUGUGGCCGACGGAAUGGGAUGAGGUGAUGGGCUGAGAAAUUUUGGCCCAAACACAAAUAUGUUCUUUCCUUUUUUUUAAUUUUCUAUUUCGAUUUUUUGGAUUACUAUAUUCAAAUAUGAUAUGAAUUUCAAGUCUAAGAUUAUAUUUUAAAUAAAACUAGAUACACAUAUUCAAAAACCAGCAUGAGGCAUAAUUAAAUUUUAUUUAUUUAAUUCUUUCACUACUUUAUCCAUUUAGAUACAUGCUUGUAUGCAAGAAAGAAAAAUAACUCAUAAACUCUAAUUUUAUUCUUCCAAAUUAAAAAAAUUACCUAAUUUUCUUAAACCUAUAAUUUAGGGUUUACAAAUCCUACCCCCCUUAAAAGAAUCUCGUCCCGAGAUUUGUAAGAAAUGAGAUAUAGAAAGUCAAAGGCUUAGGUUGCAGUUUAGCUUCGAUUUUUUUUCUAAGUGGCUUUAAGCACAAAUGUUUUCAUAAUAAUUUUUUUUAUAAAGAAAUUGAUUAGGAACACAUGGGUAUAUUUAUGUAUAUCCACUUUACUAUGUAGGGUAAAAAAUGUCUUUAAAGCAUAGAUAGGUCUGGGUAAGGAAAAGUGGGGUAAGGAAAGACUCCAUUCAAGAUUGUGGAUCUUGACUAAUCUUGGUGAUCUCACUUGAUCCUUGAAGACUUGAGUUGGUGCUCAUCCUUUCUUGAUGAAGUUGAUCAUCUUCUCCAGGCUUGUCUCAUUGAUUAGGAGUUAGUGUAUAUUAUCGGGCUGGGGAAUAUGGUUAAGAUAGACAUGGAUGAGAUAGACUACAUGAUGUAGGUCAGAAGUUUGUUUUUGGUGUCAGGUGGGGGUUGAUAGAUUAUGCAAUCCAUCAAGACUCUACUGGUUGGGUUAGAUCUUCUGCUCAUGGUUGAAUUGGUCUAAGGUGCUAAGUUAGGUUAACAUCUGGCUAGUAGGGUCCAAUCUCUUCUACCAGUAUCACUAAUCUGUUUGAGUAGACCACAUUAAAUUAUAUUCUGGUUGUUACACUAGUGUGGUAUAAAUGUGCUUAUUAGGGCAAGAUGAAUCCAUAAGGAUAAGGUACAAUCUUUUGAGGUCAGUUAGAUCUAUUGGAAUAAAAUAAAAUCUUUUCAAGAUAAGAUGAAUCUACUAAGGUAAUAGAGUAUCUUUUAAGAUAAGAUGGAUCUAUUAAGCUAGAUACAUUUUAAUUAGGAUAAGUUAGGAUCUUUUGGGAUGAGAUGGAUCUAUGAGUGUAGAAUAGAAUCUUUUUAGAUGAGAUGGAUAUUGUUAGGCUAGAUACUUUAAUGAGGGAUAAUCUAGUUUCUAUAGUUAGUUUUAUAAGCAUUAUGUAUAUGCAGAUGUAAUUGUGGACAUUACUCCACAACUCAUCACACUCAAUCAAAGAUCCAAAUUAGAUAAAUAUCAUAAGAACAAAACAUUCAAAUUCAUAGAUAUCUAUAAAAAUAGUUUUAUUUUUGUUCCUAAGAGUAGGUCUCCUAUUCCUAAAGGUCACUUUAAGCACAGGAUUUCAAAGUUUGAAAUCCAAGUUUGUCUUUAGAAGGAAAAAGAUAAGAGUAAUCAGAGUAAAGCGGAAAUAGAUGAGAAAAUAUUCAGAGUAGCAAGGUUAAGUAGACAAUGGUUGUCCAAAUCUAUCUAGGUUUCGUCCUACAGUCAACAUUCCUCUGAUACCACUUCUUUCACACCCGGAUUUCGGGGCACCAAGACCCGGGCGCGAACAUAAUCACCAGGUGUGCUGGGACCAAGUCUCACACAUAUGAUGAAUCACGACACAAGAUCGAAUGUUACAACUUUACUAUAUAAUAGGAGUUCUAUACAAAAUAAAUAAUUACAUAUAAGGAGGCAACGAUCCAGCAAUCCAAAGUUGACUGGGAGACGACGGCCUAGAUCUCUCUCACGAACUCAUCGCAGCAUCCUCCAUGCGCCUCAUCCUGCGGUACCUGUUCUUGACCUGUGGGGGGGGGUGAGACAGCAAGAGUGAGCUCACAUAUGUUCAUCGCUCAACAAGUUGUGGGGAAUAAUGUGCAUGAACUCGCCAAAGGUGGGAGCUCACGUGAAGUGUAAGGCUUACCAAAGAGGAUGGUUAGAGCUGAGCAUUGCUUUUAAAGUUGGUCAAAAUUUUAUUAGCAAUUACUAUGUAUAAGUAAAUACCAACCCAAUUAAAUAGUAGAACAAAAGUAACAACAUCACCUGCGAUGCAAUGCAUAUGACAAAUUGAAUUUAGUUCCAUAAAUUAAUCAUCAGAGAGUCCUGAGCUGCUCAUGACCGUGAGCUCGGCUAGUAUACCAGUUUAACACUCUGCAGAGGUGGUACCCUUUACCCACAAGUCAUGUUACCCAUCUGCCAAGGGAUCGCGACUUCCCAUACACCUCUACCAAGGAGGCGAGGUAGGGUGACACUACUAGGCCUUUACAAAGUUCCACUAGCUUCAGAAAACCCGCUACAGUUUAUAGGAAGCUCCAAUGUAGGGUUCUUGCCUGACCGCCAUCGCAGCAAAAUCAACCAAGGACCUCCCUACACUGACCACUCCCCUACUGCCCUUGCCCCUUUCGGGUAAGGUGGUCCUCCACUAGCUUUCCUAAUUAAUCAGCCAAGGGCGUCCAUAAACCCUUGUGGUGGCACGUGUUUCUCAAGUUAAGCUCUAUGUUCCAAUUAACAUUAAUGAUCUUGACAUGAACAGUAAAUAACAACGGAUAACAAAAGUAUAAUCAUGAAUAAUGUGUAUCUCAAUGCCCAAAACCACAUAUAGCACUAGCAAGUACUACCCAAAAAGUUCAGUGGUAAACAAGGCAUAAAGAUAGACAAACUAGGGUAACCUAUUAGGUCCCAUCAAAAUUAACCUAUGCAGAUCAUUAUGAUUAAUUAGAACAUGAGUGGGUAAAAGAAGUGAUCAAGGGCACAACUUGCCUGGCACUUGAGAUCCAGGUAACAGGGUGAUUCCUCAGAUCCUCGUAACCGCACUGCUAGUCGUAGCAAUACAAGCAGACAUGGUAUAGACAAAAAUUAACAUCACACCAAUCAUAAGUACAUACUGCAUAAUAAUAGUCUACGCGUCACAACGAGAUCGCGGGCUCGAGAACUACGAUCGGAUUUACUAGUAAGGAGUUAUGAUUUUAUAGAAGAUCUGCGUGAUUAAAAUAUUAAACUAUAUUAUAAUUUGGUUAAUAUAAAUCAUACGAGAGGUUAUUAUAUAAAUAAUUGUCUUAACUUAAAUAUAAGUUAUAAAUUGACCCUAGAUCAUAUUCUAGUAGAUUACAAUUAUAAGCAGUUUAACUAGACUAACUCAUAUAAGUUAAAUAAAGAUCUAAUUAUAAAAUAAAGAGACAUGGUAUAAUAAAUGUUGUUAUUGCAUAGUAACUAUUUAUACGAGACUAACGCAACUUGAACGAGUCAAAUCAGAUUUAAAACAGAGGAGUUAUGAUUUUCUGAAGAUUCUAUGUGUUUUGUACAAGAUUAAAUGGGAUAUAAUUUUUAAGGUGACUUUCAUGUCAAAACAGUGGUACUUGAUGAUAGACAAUAAUAUAAAAAAAUUAUAGGAAUUGGAACGGAUUAAUUUGGGCUUAAUAUGAAUUUUCUAUGAAUUACCCGAGUUUUACAAUUAUUUUUAUACUAAAAAUCAAUUUCUAAAUCUAUUUUUCUGGUUUUAUUUAAUUCCUGGACUGUGCCUCAAUUUAUAUAGAAGGAAGGGGCCUCUGCGCCAAGAUUCUAAGACACAGCGCACAGACGCGAGGGAUGGCGGGUUGGUUCCUAGGAAGUUCAGGGACUCUUUGAUAAAUGUCCCUGGCCGAAAGGGUCGGCAGGUUACGGCCGACCGAUCGAUCACCGACCGACCAGAUUAGAUGUUGCUUUCAUUGAAUCGGUAAGCUAAUAAGGACCGUCUGAUUGAAGGUUGUCGGCCCAGAUUCAACCACACCGAGAUCGAGCCCGAGCCGCUCGAUCACCGAUAGGUGGCCUGCAUUUCAUCUGGCCAAACCGUUACACAGGUGAAAUCCUAAACGUUGAUCUAUUACCCAACGGCACGAGGCCAUCUUCCACCUCGCCCUCCUAUCGCACCAUGUCUCGACUCUUGACGACGGCGACCCGCCCGCCAUGGGGCGCCAUGGCCAAAAUUCCAAGCCACGCCAAGGUGAUCUAGCCCAUAAACUAAAUGGAUCAACGCGCAGAGGAGGAUGUGGUUCUUUACCGGAGAUGAGGGGGCCGAAUAGGCUGUCCACACAAACAGGACGCUUCACAUGGAGCUCCCGCGCUGGUGAUCUGGCCACCGGUCCAAUCCCGCCAGGCGAGGCCGUGAGAGACCUCUUGGUGGACCCAGCCAUCCCCACGGCCCACUCCCUAGGGAUCAACAUCGGCUAGCCGGAGUCCCCGGCGGCGGCUCCCUCCACGACCAACAUGCUUCUGCCGCCUAGCCCGAUGGUGGAUUUGGAUAGGUGUUUUCUGGAAUUGGGAGGGAAGGAGAAGCACCGGGCUCGCUUUUAUGUACAGUAGGGGCGGUUUGGCUGGUCCGCAGCUUGCGCGCGGCCACGCCGGACAUGGAAUUCCGUUGAAGAAGACUGCACAGUCGGCCGCACAGCUCACGCGAGGAGGAGUUUCUGUCAGUCAGGGCCCACUUGCAAGUGGCGAAAGCGCGAGGUAUAGCAGAUGGGCGGUCGAUCGUGUAGUAUUUAUACAUCGGCAUCAUAGCCCGAGUACAUACGUCUGGCCGAACGGAUUCGUC